rnacentral:rRNA from 1 species
UACAGAGGUCUCGAGCGUUAGGCGGAAUCACUGGGCUUAAAGCGUGUGUAGGUGGAUGCCUAAGUACCUUGUGAAAUCCCACGGCUUAACCGUGGAACUGCUUGGUAUACUGGGUGUCUUGAGUCACUCAGGGGCGAGCGGAACAAAUGGUGGAGCGGUGAAAUGCGUAGAUAUCAUUUGGAACGCCAAUGGUGAAAGAACGACGUCCGCUUCGGGGGUCGUCGGGGACUUGGACCAACCUUGGAACGAACCAUCGGAAAAGGACCCAAGGGGCAGGAAACGGCCAA